rnacentral:rRNA from 1 species
GACGAACGCUGGCGGCGUGCUUAACACAUGCAAGUCGAACGCUGAAGCCCUUCGGGGUGGAUGAGUGGCGAACGGGUGAGUAACACGUGGGUAAUCUGCCCUGCACUCUGGGAUAAGCCUUGGAAACGGGGUCUAAUACCGGAUAGGACACAUCGCCGCAUGGUGUGUGUGUGGAAGGUUCCGGCGGUGCAGGUUGAGCCCGCGGCCUAUCAGCUUGUAGGUGGGGUGAUGGCCUACCAAGGCGACGACGGGUAGCCGGCCUGAGAGGGUGACCGGCCGCACUGGGACUGAGACACGGCCCAGACUCCUACGGGAGGCAGCAGUGGGGAAUCUUGCGCAAUGGGCGAAAGCCUGACGCAGCAACGCCGCGUGGGGGAUGACGGCCUUCGGGUUGUAAACCUCUUUCGACCGGGACGAAGGAUUCGUUUGACGGUACCGGUAGAAGAAGCACCGGCUAACUACGUGCCAGCCGCCGCGGUAAUAC